CACACCCCUUCUCCCUCCAAAUGGUUAUCACAACUGUGUACAAACUGAUACGGUCCUUAGCCGGCAAAGGGACUGGAAAUAAACGUCGCGGGGUUAUCAGCGCCGAUCUGUCAUCAGCGAGUCGCGCGGCCACGGGUUCGUCCGCCGCAGGAGCCCUGAUACCAGGUCUCGCUCCCUUUUGCUCACAAGAAGGAUUUCUUCCGACAGCCAUGACCCCAGAAGGCUCGAGAGAACUCUAACCAGGGCAGGAGGAGUUGUGUGGGAAUGGAUUUUUACACUUUUUUUUUUCAGGUAAAUCGAAGUAAAUGAUUUUCUAAAGCCUCCCCAAAUCACUGUGGCAGCUCGCGGUUUCAGCGGUGGCCACGUUUCGGAAGGACCGAAGGGAGGAAACUCUGGAACAGACACUUGGAGGCAGGAGCAGGAUCCGGGGGCUUUCGAUGUGGACCUGAGUUCAUCCAUCUAAUGAGACUACCAGGAAAGACAGCCCUACGUCCGCCGAGCGCGUAACUCGGGCCAGGGCUUCCAAUGUCUUUCUUCUGGUUUUUACGUGAGUUCCAACCGAAUUUUUCAAUAGACUGACCUUUGCAGGGACUCCUUUGUGAGCGGUUACUGAAAUGGUAUGGACAGUGGAUUUCCUUUGAGUCCAGCUGUUUUUAAAUGUUUCUCAGGUUUGCUUUUAAAAUGAAAGUGGUGUUUUUUUUCUUUAAUUCCAAUUUUGGCGAGUUGAUUUUCUAAUGAAGACCGGUUUACAAAUACUUUGGCCAAGUAGAGUCCCGGCUCUGAGGGGCCUCCAAGCCUGAGCCCCGAGGAAACCAAGCCCUGAGCAAAUCUAAGGCCCACUGUGUUUAUUUUUUAUUUGCAAGAAUACCGGGGUGCCCAUGAGAAUUUCCCUGGACAACAGGUCACCCCCAGGGACCUGCUUUUCCCGCAGCUCCACGGCAGCAGUGAGGGUGAGCUGCUCGGGCACCAUUGGCACAUAGGUUGAGCGUCAGGACAGACACGGAGGGAAAGUCUCCAGCGCGAGGGUUCUAAGGGCCCGGGAAGGGACUCGGCAUUUUAUCCUCCAGAUUCCCAACCUCUUUGUAACACUGCCUAAAACAAAGAGCGGGAGAGGGAAAGUCAUUGCUCCUUUGCUAGGUCACAAAUUGUUUUGGGUUUUUAAGAUUGGUUUUCCAACCAAAGGAGGGAAUGGGUAGUGAAACGCUUCCCUUGUCAGUUAAUUUAGAAAUAAAACAAACCCAUUUGACCCGAGGAGUUGAUUCCGACCGAAAGUCAGGUUGCCUGACCCUUCCAGUUUGCAGUUUUCCCAACGCAUCGACUUUGGCCCUGGGGACAACAGCCCGGCAGAGCAGCACAUUUCCAACGCCAGCCUCCACUGGCCCUGAGCCCUUUGAGUUUUCUCUGAGCACCGCUGCGGGUCUCAGAAGGUGGGGAGAAUAAGGGGCGCAGAAAAAAGUGGGCCCCAAAUUAGAAAUCCGAGAGUUGCAGAAGGCCCCCAUAGUGUUCCAGAUAGACAGGCAGGCUCUGCGAAAUUGUUCUGUUUUAUUCGUGGCUUCUUUCCUUCAUUUUUUCUCCACUUUCCUUCCCUUCCUUUUUUCCUUUCGCCUGUCUCUUCUUCUAGGGUUUGCUCAUCUGAAACGGAAUCGUUUCUCUCUGGACUAUUUAGACCCCAGGGGUGGCCCCUGCGAAGUGAGCCGUCCCUCCCCAGCAGCCCUCCCCACCUUCGGGGAGAGGCUGGCUCCUGGGCGCAGGCAGGGGCUCAGCCUGUCCCCGGGACUGAUUUAUUUGGGCCGCGCCACACUACUCAUCGCGAUUCGAAUUCGGCCAGAAAACAGCAGCCAAUGGGGCAGGGGGCGGGGGCUGUGCUGCCAAACCAGAGAGGGUGUUGGGGGACUCAGUCCCGCGCGCUGCUGGCGGAGGAGCGGCGAGACCCCAGAGCCGCGUCACCACCCGCCUUGACCCCCGCAAACUCACGCUCACCGUGCGGUCAUUUCCCAACCUCCUAGCUGCUCAGGGGACGUUUCAGAAAGAAAAGGAACACAACGUCUGACUUAAACCAUAUCUUUAAAUUGAGAGUGUUUUUAACCCAGAUUUAUGGUGUCUUCCCACUGAUAUCAUAUUAAUUCCAGCUCCGGAGAUGCUUUUGCCGAAGGACGCGGGGUCACCUCCGCGCCCCCAGCCCCGCCGGCUUCUGCGUCCACUUGCCGGGUCUGGGCAGCGUGUCCCCCGCCCCCAGCGUCUGUCGGUCCAACAGGGGCGGUCGCCCGGAGUCUUGACGGUGGUUUCUUAGGAGGAGGAGGAGGGUGUUUUAAUUUUUAAUUCUCAAAACCCCCAGAAUACUCUUUGGAAAUGUCAGGUGGUGGCGGCGGCGAGUACGGUGCGGCCUAGAGGUCGCCCCUACCCCUCGGCGGCGGCGGGUCGCUGUGGGCGCGGAGCAGGCAGCGCCACGCUCGGGCACCGGGCACCGGGCACCGGAAUCCAGCUCCCCGAGCGCCACGGCCGCCGCACCCCACAGCCCCGAGCGCGCCCCGCAGCCCGGGCAGCGCCUGCCCCGCCGCCCGCCGGCCGCCAGCGCGGCGCGGAGGUGGGCUCGGGGCGGCGGCGCGAAAGGUCACCGCGGUGGCAUUCCUCUCCGCGAGCUGUUUACGUGACUUAAUGUGCUUCAAACUCGGAGGCUUGUUAUCUGGGCCACCCAAUGACCGACGAAAGAUUUCUCCCUCACUGCUUCUCCCAAGGCCGCUUUAAACCAAAUAAAUUUAGCUAUUAAGGGCCAAGAUGCCUGACAAAAGA